rnacentral:rRNA from 1 species
AGAGCUCAAAUUUAAAAUCUGGCAGUCUCAUUGGAUGCCCGAGUUGUAAGUUAGAGAAGUGCUAUCCGCACCGGCCUGUGCAAAAGUCCCUUGGAAAAGGGCAUCAUAGAGGGUGACAAUCCCGUCUUUGGCACAGACUACCGGGGCUUCUGUGAUGCGCUCUCGAUGAGUCGAGUUGUUUGGGAAUGCAGCUCCAAAUGGGUGGUAAAUUCCAUCUAAAGCUAAAUAUUGGCGAGAAACCGAUAGCGCA